AGCGUACACGGUGGAUGCCCUGGCAGUCAGAGGCGAUGAAGGACGUGCUAAUCUGCGAUAAGCGUCGGUAAGGUGAUAUGAACCGUUAUAACCGGCGAUUUCCGAAUGGGGAAACCCAGUGUGUUUCGACACACUAUCAUUAACUGAAUCCAUAGGUUAAUGAGGCGAACCGGGGGAACUGAAACAUCUAAGUACCCCGAGGAAAAGAAAUCAACCGAGAUUCCCCCAGUAGCGGCGAGCGAACGGGGAGCAGCCCAGAGCCUGAAUCAGUGUGUGUGUUAGUGGAAGCGUCUGGAAAGGCGCGCGAUACAGGGUGACAGCCCCGUACACAAAAAUGCACAUGCUGUGAGCUCGAUGAGUAGGGCGGGACACGUGGUAUCCUGUCUGAAUAUGGGGGGACCAUCCUCCAAGGCUAAAUACUCCUGACUGACCGAUAGUGAACCAGUACCGUGAGGGAAAGGCGAAAAGAACCCCGGCGAGGGGAGUGAAAAAGAACCUGAAACCGUGUACGUACAAGCAGUGGGAGCACGCUUAGGCGUGUGACUGCGUACCUUUUGUAUAAUGGGUCAGCGACUUAUAUUCUGUAGCAAGGUUAACCGAAUAGGGGAGCCGAAGGGAAACCGAGUCUUAACUGGGCGUUAAGUUGCAGGGUAUAGACCCGAAACCCGGUGAUCUAGCCAUGGGCAGGUUGAAGGUUGGGUAACACUAACUGGAGGACCGAACCGACUAAUGUUGAAAAAUUAGCGGAUGACUUGUGGCUGGGGGUGAAAGGCCAAUCAAACCGGGAGAUAGCUGGUUCUCCCCGAAAGCUAUUUAGGUAGCGCCUCGUGAAUUCAUCUCCGGGGGUAGAGCACUGUUUCGGCAAGGGGGUCAUCCCGACUUACCAACCCGAUGCAAACUGCGAAUACCGGAGAAUGUUAUCACGGGAGACACACGGCGGGUGCUAACGUCCGUCGUGAAGAGGGAAACAACCCAGACCGCCAGCUAAGGUCCCAAAGUCAUGGUUAAGUGGGAAACGAUGUGGGAAGGCCCAGACAGCCAGGAUGUUGGCUUAGAAGCAGCCAUCAUUUAAAGAAAGCGUAAUAGCUCACUGGUCGAGUCGGCCUGCGCGGAAGAUGUAACGGGGCUAAACCAUGCACCGAAGCUGCGGCAGCGACGCUUAUGCGUUGUUGGGUAGGGGAGCGUUCUGUAAGCCUGCGAAGGUGUGCUGUGAGGCAUGCUGGAGGUAUCAGAAGUGCGAAUGCUGACAUAAGUAACGAUAAAGCGGGUGAAAAGCCCGCUCGCCGGAAGACCAAGGGUUCCUGUCCAACGUUAAUCGGGGCAGGGUGAGUCGACCCCUAAGGCGAGGCCGAAAGGCGUAGUCGAUGGGAAACAGGUUAAUAUUCCUGUACUUGGUGUUACUGCGAAGGGGGGACGGAGAAGGCUAUGUUGGCCGGGCGACGGUUGUCCCGGUUUAAGCGUGUAGGCUGGUUUUCCAGGCAAAUCCGGAAAAUCAAGGCUGAGGCGUGAUGACGAGGCACUACGGUGCUGAAGCAACAAAUGCCCUGCUUCCAGGAAAAGCCUCUAAGCAUCAGGUAACAUCAAAUCGUACCCCAAACCGACACAGGUGGUCAGGUAGAGAAUACCAAGGCGCUUGAGAGAACUCGGGUGAAGGAACUAGGCAAAAUGGUGCCGUAACUUCGGGAGAAGGCACGCUGAUAUGUAGGUGAAGUCCCUCGCGGAUGGAGCUGAAAUCAGUCGAAGAUACCAGCUGGCUGCAACUGUUUAUUAAAAACACAGCACUGUGCAAACACGAAAGUGGACGUAUACGGUGUGACGCCUGCCCGGUGCCGGAAGGUUAAUUGAUGGGGUCAGCGCAAGGCGAAGCUCUUGAUCGAAGCCCCGGUAAACGGCGGCCGUAACUAUAACGGUCCUAAGGUAGCGAAAUUCCUUGUCGGGUAAGUUCCGACCUGCACGAAUGGCGUAAUGAUGGCCAGGCUGUCUCCACCCGAGACUCAGUGAAAUUGAACUCGCUGUGAAGAUGCAGUGUACCCGCGGCAAGACGGAAAGACCCCGUGAACCUUUACUAUAGCUUGACACUGAACAUUGAGCCUUGAUGUGUAGGAUAGGUGGGAGGCUUUGAAGUGUGGACGCCAGUCUGCAUGGAGCCGACCUUGAAAUACCACCCUUUAAUGUUUGAUGUUCUAACGUUGACCCGUGAUCCGGGUUGCGGACAGUGUCUGGUGGGUAGUUUGACUGGGGCGGUCUCCUCCUAAAGAGUAACGGAGGAGCACGAAGGUUGGCUAAUCCUGGUCGGACAUCAGGAGGUUAGUGCAAUGGCAUAAGCCAGCUUGACUGCGAGCGUGACGGCGCGAGCAGGUGCGAAAGCAGGUCAUAGUGAUCCGGUGGUUCUGAAUGGAAGGGCCAUCGCUCAACGGAUAAAAGGUACUCCGGGGAUAACAGGCUGAUACCGCCCAAGAGUUCAUAUCGACGGCGGUGUUUGGCACCUCGAUGUCGGCUCAUCACAUCCUGGGGCUGAAGUAGGUCCCAAGGGUAUGGCUGUUCGCCAUUUAAAGUGGUACGCGAGCUGGGUUUAGAACGUCGUGAGACAGUUCGGUCCCUAUCUGCCGUGGGCGCUGGAGAAUUGAGGGGGGCUGCUCCUAGUACGAGAGGACCGGAGUGGACGCAUCACUGGUGUUCGGGUUGUCAUGCCAAUGGCACUGCCCGGUAGCUAAAUGCGGAAGAGAUAAGUGCUGAAAGCAUCUAAGCACGAAACUUGCCCCGAGAUGAGUUCU
rnacentral:rRNA from 1 species